rnacentral:rRNA from 1 species
AUUGAACGCUGGCGGCAGGCCUAACACAUGCAAGUCGAGCGGAUGAAGGGAGCUUGCUCCUGGAUUCAGCGGCGGACGGGUGGGUAAUGCCUAGGAAUCUGCCUGGUAGGGGGGGAUAACGUCCGGAAACGGGCGCUAAUACCGCAUACGUCCUGCGGGAGAAAGUGGGGGAUCUUCGGACCUCACGCUAUCAGAUGAGCCUAGGUCGGAUUAGCUAGUUGGUGGGGUAAAGGCCUACCAAGGCGACGAUCCGUAACUGGUCUGAGUGGAUGAUCAGUCACACUGGAGCUGAAACACGGUCCAUACUCCUACGGGACGCAGCAGUGGGGAAUAUUAGACAAUGGGCGAGAGCCUGGUCCAGCCAUGCCGCGUGUGUUAAGAAGGUCUUCGGAUUGUAAAGCACUUUAAGUUGGGAUGAAGGGCAGUAAGUUAAUACCUUGCUGGUUUGACGUUACCAACAGAAUAAGCACCGGCUAACUUCGUG